rnacentral:rRNA from 1 species
UAACGAAUCUUCCGCAAUGCGCGAAAGCGUGACGGGGCAAUGCCGCGUGCAGGAUGAAGCCCUUCGGGGUGUAAACUGCUGUCAGGGUGCAGGAACUCAAUGACCAUACCCAAAGGAAGCACCGGCUAACUCUGUGCCAGCAGCCGCGGUAAUACAGAGGGUGCAAGCGUUAAUCGGAAUCACUGGGCUUAAAGCGUUCGUAGGCGGACUUGCAGGCACCUUGUGAAAGCCCUCGGCUCAACCGGGGAACUGCUUGGUGAACCUCAAGUCUUGAGUCAAGUAGGGGCGGUCGGAACGAUAGGUGGAGCGGUGAAAUGCGUAGAUAUCUAUCGGAACGCCGAAGGUGAAGACAGGCCGCUGGGCUUGUACUGACGCUGAGGAACGAAAGCGUGGGGAGCAA